rnacentral:rRNA from 1 species
UACAGAGGGUGCGAGCGUUAAUCGGAUUUACUGGGCGUAAAGCGUGCGUAGGCGGCCAAUUAAGUCAAAUGUGAAAUCCCCGAGCUUAACUUGGGAAUUGCAUUCGAUACUGGUUGGCUAGAGUAUGGGAGAGGAUGGUAGAAUUCCAGGUGUAGCGGUGAAAUGCGUAGAGAUCUGGAGGAAUACCGAUGGCGAAGGCAGCCAUCUGGCCUAAUACUGACGCUGAGGUACGAAAGCAUGGGGAGCUAACAGG